UUGGUUUUGGUGGAGGGAAGAAGGGAGGAAGGAAAGGGGGAGAAUCCAAGGUGAUUUUUGUGUUUAUCUCUUGUUUAUUUGUGCUGCAAUUCAAUUGAAUAGAUGUUGCGUAUGCGAAUUGGUAGAGGUGCUGUCCAGAAAUUUAGUGGGUGGGCGAACAGCAGUAGUUCUAGCAGUUUCUGGGAAAUUUUCGUGGGUAAUUAGUGAUAAACAGUAUGAGAAUCAUGUAUAUCUUUGUCAUACCUUUCCAACGAGUACUUAUGCGCUCAAUUCGGAGUUAUAAAUUAGGAGAUAUCGCCGUUUGAACCCGGGUAUGUGGCUGUCCAAAGAAACAGAUUUCUGCAGGUGCAUGCAGCAGUAGUAUUAGCAGUUUCUGGGGAUUUUUCGUGGGUAAUUAGUGAUAAACAGUAUGAGAAUUAUGUAGAGCUUUGUCAUACAUUUCCAACAAGUACUUAUGUGCUCAAUUCGGAAUUAUAAAUUAGGAGAUAUCGCUGUUUGAAUCCGGAUAUGUUGCUGUCAAAAAAAAACAGAUUGCAGGGUUUAUCUUGUGGACUGUUUUGGGCUAAUUAGAUGUUAGAAUUUAAUUAUAAUUUGUAUACAAAACUUGUGGGGAAUUUUAUCUAGAUGCCUCUGGAGUUUUUUUUGUCACCACUGCUGUCAUAAUUUUAAAGUUAUGAAAUUGUUAAGAAGCACCGCUGCAAUUUGGUGGGUGUGGGGAGAGUUGUUACCCGCGGCGGGGUUUGAGAUUGGGCGUAGGUGCAGCGUCGUUUAUGAGUGUUAUUAUGUGAAAUUGGUGCACUAAGUUGUGUGUCAAAAACAGGUGGUGGACUUCCGGAUCGUACUUAGGGAUUUGCCCAAACUUCCGGUGAAGGCAAGUAAAACAGUGAUGGUUAUUCCGUCUCUCGAUUAAAUAGUCUUAUACUUGAUUAUGUUUGUGCCAUUUGUGUUCGUAUUCAUAUUCCUAAUUGGGUACCAUCGUUUAAAGAUAUUCAUGUUUUAUUGAUUACAUAUGUUGAGGUUGUGGUUUGAUCAUGUUACCCAUGUGGUUUAUUAUGUGGAAUGGGUGGAAGUAUAUGUCGAGCACAUUUUAUUUGGGAAGGACUCAUGUUGUUGACAUGCAUAAUGCAUUCAUCAUCCAUUGCAUGAAAGUUUCAUCGCGAUCUUAUGGUCUGACUAUACCAGUACAAUGAGCAUCAUAUGUUGCUCGAGAAGGGGUAUGAUGCAGCUUCAUAUCCUUAGAGGUAUGAAGGCAGAAGUCAUUACUGCAUCUGUAGCCAUGUGCAUUCAUGGGAGAAGUGUGGAACCUAUUAUGGUGAUGUGGAUAGUGUGGAUCUUUACUUUGUGAUUCAUCUUGGCAUUAAGUAAUUGGUUACUUGCUUACUUGCUGCAAAUUAAUAUUUAAGAAAGAAGUUGUGAACUACGUGGUUGUUUAGGCACGGUUGGUACAUUCUCCAAUUGUUGUUUGCUCUUUUUACUUGCUGAGAUGUGUCAUCUCACUCUUGCAUUUUCUGAUGCAGGCACCUGAUCUUUGCUUUGGGAAAGAAGGGAUGUAGUAGCAUGGCCACUAAACCUUUAAAUAAAGGAACCACUGCUUAAUAAUGAUGUUAAACAGGGAGGGUCAAGUCUAGGGGAUUAUUAUAUUCUAGCCUUUCAUGGUAGUUGAACUGUUUUUUUGGUGGGCGGAGUUACCUAUCUUUUAUUUGGUCAUGAAUGUUCAUUACUACCGUUGCAUUUCGAUUAUACUAUGUGAAUUAUCUUUCUUUUAUAUCCUGUAUAAACUCUAUGUUCCCCUUGUUAUGCUUCUUUCAAGGGAGGUGCUGCCGGAUUUUGCAAUACUUUCUUUCUCUAUUUCUUUUCUUGUGUUGCAUAAGUUUU
rnacentral:lncRNA from 1 species